GAAUUUACUUUCUCAGUAACGAAGCUAACGCGUGAAGUUGACCGCCUGGGGAGUACGGCCGCCAAGGUUGAAACUCAAAGGAAUUGANCGGGGACCCGCACAAGCGGUGGAUGAUGUGGUUUAAUUCGAUGCAACGCGAAAAACCUUACCCACCUUUGACAUGUACGGAAGUUACCAGAGAUGGUUUCGUGCUCGAAAGAGAACCGUAACACAGGUGCUGCAUGGCUGUCGUCAGCUCGUGUCGUGAGAUGUUGGGUUAAGUCCCGCAACGAGCGCAACCCUUGCCAUUAGUUGCUACAUUUAGUUGAGCACUCUAAUGGGACUGCCGGUGACAAACCGGAGGAAGGUGGGGAUGACGUCAAGUCCUCAUGGCCCUUAUAGGUGGGGCUACACACGUCAUACAAUGGCUGGUACAGAGGGUUGCCAACCCGCGAGGGGGAGCCAAUCCCAUAAAGCCAGUCGUAGUCCGGAUCGCAGUCUGCAACUCGACUGCGUGAAGUCGGAAUCGCUAGUAAUCGCGGAUCAGAAUGUCGCGGUGAAUACGUUCCCGGGUCUUGUACACACCGCCCGUCACACCAUGGGAGCGGGUCUCGCCAGAAGUAGGUAGCCUAACCGUAAGGAGGGCGCUUACCACGGCGGGGUUCGUGACUGGGGUGAAGUCGUAACAAGGUACC
rnacentral:rRNA from 1 species